AUAAAAAUCGCGCAUCUUGUUCAGAGUCACUUUCGAAGUAGGUUAGAAGCAAGUGAACUUCCUCAUCACAUCAUGGCUCACAUUACUGCCGUGCAUCUUGGCUUAAUCUUUUUUCUAACCUGUUUAACAACACAGGUGGUGUCUCAAUCCACAUUGUCUCCAAACAUGACUGCAGCAAACCACACAGUUAGUCAUGUCAACAGCACUAUGGCAACAAACCGCACCACGACCACUCCGGCUGGUGCCGCCUACCAGCUGCAAUCCAGCUCCGUCUUUGUGCUGAUAUCUGGAACCAUCUCGACCAUACUAAUUCACCACCGCUGCUGAGCCACAUCUGUAACUGCUGAUCAGUCCCCAUCUUCCACCUGAGUGUUGCUCAUAAAUGAACAUCGCGGCCCCUGUGCUAUUCCAACCAAAUAAUUCAACCAAACCACCCCUGAGAGCAGACCCUCUGGAUUACAUCUACAACGUCUUUAAACACCGCUGAAGAGAAAAUUGUUUGUACUGGAGCAGAGAAAGUGAUCUUCCUUUCUUUUCUUUUUUUUUUUCACUGAAAUGUUUGCAGUAGUGUUUUAUAUCCCUCAUUUAAAAUUCUACCAAAAUUGGGAUGUAUACUGAAAGAGAAACCUGUAUUGAUUUUUUUUUUUUUUAAAGUUAAGGCUGUAUUAUAUCAGUAGCUUAACUGAAGCCUGCAACUGUUUGAUUUUUUUUUAUUGCUUGAAUUUUCCCUCUGUGUGCUCUGGAAAUCUCACGAACACAAUUACUAAUUUUUAACAAACACAAUGUACGCAAUCUGCAUUAAUAUUAAUCAUGAACAUCAUGAAGCAACAAAAGGAACAAAAAUCCAUUCGGCAUUUCAUUUAGGAUAGAAAAUAGUUGUUAUAGAGCUACAAUAACACUCCAAAUGCAAUGUUUCAUUAGAUUCAUCUCAGUUUACCACCAUGGCUGGGUUGGGUGUCUGUUUGGAGCUGAUAUAUGAGGUGUUAGGUGUCUACUAUAUCAUGACACCAACAGGAAUGUCAGUGUAUAGCCAUGGAAAGGGACUGAGUCUGCCGUGUUCGGUUUUAUUUUGUAUAACUCACUAUUCUUCAAAUCAUCAUACAAUAAAUGAACUUGUACGAGACCUCCUAAGGACUAGUAAUUUAUUUAGGCUUUAUAUAGAUUUGUUAACUGCUAAAUGCAAGUCAGAUUAUUUACUUUCUUUCCCUUGUAUUCACCUGUUCUCAUCUACUUACAUACAAUUAAUACUACAUUCUUAAAUCUAACCUAGAGUUUAAUAUAACUACCCUUUUUAAUAGAGAAUGCUGUUAUUUAACAGUAGUUUUAUUUUGCUGUGUUGCUUUGGUCAUUCAUACUACUUUUUCUGUUAAGCAUCAACUGACAGAGGUGUGUAGGAAGGGAAGUGUGUGUACGGGUGAGUGUGUGUGUGUGUGUCUGUACGGGGUGUGUUCAACAGCAAGCGAUAAACAGACGGAGGAUGACCAAAUCCGAAUCUGCUGAAUAGGUAUAACUGUAAAUCAGUGGUACACGGAUGACUGGAAAGGUGACAAUGAAAGAAUAGAGAGAUGAGUAAUCGAAUCAGGCGGGUGUUAGGGAAUAACAGAGAGGGGAUAACGGGAUAACGCAGGCAUUGUCGGUCUUGUGUUGAACAGGAUGCCACAGUGCUGACAAAUAUUUAAUCGUGAAUGAUACUGUCUGGACAAGCAUCUGGCGGUACACAGGGGCUCAGUGGUGAUUUGUGUUUUGUGAGUCCCAUGGGAUAGACUCAGGGGAAUAUUUGAAACAGAAAAUGGAUAGAUGGUGUCUCCAGGACCUGUGAUGUGAUGUGAGUACUGUUUAAUAAAAAAUAUGACUAAACAGGGGAAAGAUUGCCCACACAGAUGUUGCUUAGAAAAGGAUUUUCCCUGCUGUGGUCUGAUGAGCUGUGACGUGACCUCUGCCAGCUCAUGUUUCUGUAAGCUGUUAAAAGAGCAGGCCAAGCUGUUUUGUUCACAUUUAGCAACACAGUGAAUGUUCUAAGCCCGAGCCCCCUGUUCUGUGAAAUUUCUGUCUGUGUUUAUUUCCUUUUUUAUGAUUCUGUCACGAUUUGUUAGGAAUUUAGGAAGUGCCACUUGGGCUGCAUUAGAGCAAGUAAUAUUCAUUUAAAAAGAAAUAAAAUGAACCUACAGAACAAGACACUUCGUGCUCAGAGGCCCAGGGGUCAUAACUGCCUUUUACAGUGGUGUGGUCAGGUUAGACCAGUGACUUUAUUGGAGUGUCAGUCUAGGGUGGGGCAAAAACACUAGCCUGCAUUCACAGAAAAUGGUCCUAAUGGAUAAAUGACACAGAGAGAAACCACUUUUGUUUGUCAUCAAGCAAACUAUAGAAAAUGUCAUAGCUAAGAAGACAUUAGGCUACGUCUUUAGAAGUAUGAUGUUAAAAAUUCAACAUUGAACAAAUAUUAGCAAACAAUGGCUAAUGAUGAACUGGAGAAAUCCAAUGUAUUUUUUUUAGUCAGUGGGACCACUUAUGUAUUGGCUUGCUAAAUACACCACAUGGCCAAAAGUAUGUGGAAACCUGUUGUAAUAAGCUCCAGUCUCCUGUGAAGGUUUUCCACUAGAUGUUGGAGCGUGUCUUUGGGGAUUAGUGAUCAUUCAGCUACAAGAGCAUUAGUGAGAUCAGACACUGAUGUUGUAAGAGUGAGGAGGUCUGGGGUUCAGUCGGUGUUCCAGUUCAUCCCAAAGGUGUUCAGGGGGGUUGAGUCAGAGUCAGGGCUCUGUGCAGGACACUCCAUUUCGUCCACUCCAACCUUAACACACCAUGUCUUCAUGGAGCUCAGGGGCUUUGUGCAGAGGGGCAUUGUCAUGCUGGAACAAAUUUGGGGGCAUUUAUUCCCAGUAAAACGAACUCUUAAUGCUACAGCAUGAAAUUCUAUACAAUUUAGUGCUUCCAAACUUUGUGACAGCAGUUUGGAGAAGAGCCACAUAUAGUUGUGAUGGUGUCCUCAUACUUUUGGCCAUACAGUGUAACAUUUUCUUCACUGUUGGGCAAUGAUGAUAUGAACAUUCAGAUUUCCCAAAGAUGUUGUAGGGGUAGUAAUUAUAUUAAUAUUCCCACUCGCCUAUUGCAGUUACUUUUACUAAGUUGUUCAGUUUCACAUAAUAAGACACUGGAAACUAAUUACUGCAGAGGAUGUUAGAUUCUGCAAAAUUCCUUUCAACACCAGUAAAAACUGAACACAUAAUACUAGACAAAUCGUAUGUAAGGAAUAAUGAUAAAAACUGGUUAAAAGAGUGGUGUAGAGUAGCUUCAUACUUACACAUAUUCUUAAUUAUGUGUAGAUUUGAACGAUACGUAUUGGAAAAUCAAGAAUGCUUGCCUCUAAAAUGCUGCUCACACAUGUGAUGAGCAAAAAUGUUAAACCAAAAAAGCAGAAAAACUUUUUUUUUAAUGUAGACAUAAUAUUUCAAAGAAAAUAAAAUAAUGACACAAAUAAUAUUGUUAUUAAGGAUCUUGUUUAAUGUCACUAUGUUGCAUUGUUCCAAAUCAUGAAAUAAUACAUCAGUUGUUGCUAUCAGUUACCGGCACAGAAGCCAUGAAGCCCCUAUAAAAAGAAUGAAGUCACACUUUUAUCUGUACUCUACUUAAAACAUGUCUCUGUGUGCCUGCUCAAGGUCGGGUUACUCCAGAAUACAUUACAUGUAGGGUAACAUGAGUCAGAGUCACGAUCUGAGAACCAAAACACAAAGGUCAAACACAAGGAACAGUCUAUAAUCAUGGAAACAUUGACAUUCCAACAAAACACAAAUUGAAUAAAUAUCAUUAGCCAGCAGCUGCACUGGAGGGCAAUUUAAUACCUGAGCAUCAGCAUAGCGCUCAGGUGCUUUUGGAUAUUUAUUUUAGUUUAUUCAUCCAAUUACAUUAUCUGCAUCUAUAUCAAAUAUGGUCCAUUAGCAAUUGUUGUAAAGAAAAAAAAGGUUUGAUUUAACCAUAUAAACCAAAAACUUGAGCAAUAGUCAGAAAUAUAACUAUAAAUAUAAACUAUAAAUAUUAGUCAUAUGUGAUGUGAGAAAUUUCCAAAAAAAUCAUUUUUCAAUAAUCAAUUUUAAAUGAUUAUAAAUAAAAUUUACAUUUUCAUAUAUAUUAAACAUGCUGAAUUAUAGUACACAUGUCUGUGUAUUUGUUUAUGAAAAUAAAUACUAUGUGAGGGUGUGAGUGUGAGUACGAGGACUGGUGGACUGGUGAGGAGAGCAUGACCACACUCCUGAGGCCUAUUUCCAUAAUUAUGUAAAUGGCACAGAUGGUGAAAUGAGCGCCUCAGUUUGUAGUGUGUAUGUCUGAAUAUUGUUUACACGAGUUUUUGCAUGUUUAUUUGUUUGCUGUCCACAUGUAUAGUGAAACUGACCUCAAUCAAAACCCUUUUUUAUUAAGUACUUACAAUAUACUUAGAAAUAUCAUUAAAAUCUCUGCAAAAUUGAAAAAAAUUAAUUAUGUACACUCACUCCAUGCUUUAUGUGAAAUAUCUGUAUGUCUGUUUAUGCAUGCAGUUACCCAAUCAGCCAAUCAUCUAGCAGCAAUUCAAUGCAUAAAAUUAGUCAAGAGCUGCACUUAAUGUUCACAUAUAACAUCAGCAUAGGGGGAAAAAUUACUAUGACCAUGGCAUGGUGUUUGGAGUGUCUGGCUAAGGCCGACUGGAGUAUUUCAGAAACUACUGAUCACCUGGGAUUUUCUCCUACAACAGUUCAAUGAUGAAAACAAAAAUCAAUAAAACAGCAUAAAAAGCAGUUCUGUGGGCAGAAACACUGAUUCAAAGAGAUUGAAAGACUGAUUCAAAAACACGAAGGCUACUCAAACUGCCACUCUUUUCCGCCUGUGAUACAACAAUAAUAUGCUCCUCCUGACCAAUCAGAUUCCUGAAUUCAACCUAACACAGAUAUUUAUAUUCCAUGAGCUUACAAAGUUUCAAGAGCGUUAUAAGAGCUCGUUUCCGUAACAACAAAACCUAAUCCUAAUGCAAGCAGAGAUAUCAUUAAUGUUGUGUCCAGUGCUGAUGAGCUUCUCAUUGCAGGAAAGAAGAAAUCCAUCAUUCUGAUUGGCUGAAGGUGCUUUACAGAACUCCUGUGGUCAUGGGAAAUUUACAUGUUGAACAUAUUGCACAUUCAAUAACUAUGUUAGAUCAUUUCAUUAACUUCUAAUAAGAAUGGGUUUGAUGUUUUAUAGAUGGAUUCAUUCGUCAGUAAGUAUCUCUCUCUCUCUCUCUCUCUCUCUCUCUCUCUCUCUCUCUCUCAGCCAUCCAUACCCACUCAUUUCCGUCACUCUCCCAGUCUAACAAAGAUUCUGUUGAGCCUUCAGGGUAAAUGCAAGUCUAAAUCAAAGGCUGCUUUCAUCUCCUUUUCUUAUUCAGUAUCCAUUGCAUCAGUGUGAGUCAUUCAGACUUUAGCCAACUGGGAUAUGUUUAAAAAAGUGUAUUAAAGUCCACAUACUGUUCUACAUAAUCAAAUUACAUUUGGAUAUAAAAAUGUGAUUGAUCUUGACAUUAUAAUUAUCAUUUGAAUUGUCAUUUCGGGCAGCCUGAAUCACAGAGGGUGGGUCUGUUGGGAGGAAAGGAAAGCUUGUUAGGUUUUUUUAUGCAAUUUUCCUUGUAGGUAACUGGAUGCAAUGCCAUUCUAAAAACUAUAAAAUGCUCCUUAAAUCAUUUUGGGGGAAAGAAACCCAGGUUUUUCUUAGUCUUAGUUAUUAAAGAUCUCACUUUUGUAAGGAAGAACACCAAAAAUUUUCUUUUUAAUAUUUCUCAGAAAACAUGUCUGGUACAGACAGAUUUCCUCUUUUCUCCCUCUCUGCAUUUCCCAUUCCCCAUAUAGUGACGCUCCUUGACCAGUCCACUGACCAGUGACGAUGCUAGUGCUACAAAUACAAAGCAAAGCUACUAAACAUGAUAUAAUAAUGAACUGACAUAAUAGAGAAGAACAGUAUAAAAUGUGUUAAACUUUUUCUCUCUCUGAAACCAUUUAAUCAUAGGGCUUAAAAUGAUUUAAACAAGACACCUUAGAAUUAGACUCUAAUUGGAGAUGAAAAUUUUGAUGGCUGAGAGUCUAGAGAGCAAUAUUGGCCAUAGGCUCUAGCUUGGCAUACUCUGAAUGGAUGGCAUACUCUCUCCUGUCAAUCAUAGUAAUACCAGCCAGUUGUGAAUGUCUGUGAGGUCAUGAAGAGUGUAGAUAGAACCUUCCUCCAUGCAUCAGUUUGAAAAAAAUGCAGUGGCUGGCUUCUUGUGUUUCAGAGUCUUUAGUCUUUGUUGGUAGGUGUUGAAUGCCAGACAGCUGACUGGUGGGUGGAAAUUGUCAAUUAGAGAAAAAAUAUGCAGGGAAAAAAAAUUAAUACCAGAUUUCUGAGAGCCCAGUUUUAGUCAAAUUUAAUCUAAUAAUUCUGUUCUAUGUUAGUACAUGAUAACAAACUCUUGAUUUCUACUAAUGAGCCACAAAUGAAAUAGUGCUAAAGGAAGAGGUUUGGAACAGUAAACAAGCUAUUUGAGUACUGAUGGCUCUUAUUGGGUUUUCCAAGACGAGCAGAUAUUGAUUUUUGAAUAUAAGCUCAAAAAUUGUUUGAUGCUUUGUUGGCUAAUUAAUUCAUUUAUUCCUUCACAGGAAUUCUCUGCAGAGUCAUAUUUUUAACACAGAACAGAUUUAAACAGCAUGCACACUUCAACCACACACUGCACUUGGCUAGUAAGCUGUCCAUAUGUUUUAUAUUUCUGGCUGGUCCACUCUGUGAUAUCAAACUCCAUCCAAGCUUAGAGCUGCACCCAAAAUUCAAGAAUCAAGCAGAACAUCUACAGCACCACCAGAACAGCAUAUGCCCUCAAGGUGGUGCCAGAACCAUGUGGACAUGGUUGGAGACUGCUCAUCUUCCUAAACACCCACCACAUGCAGAUCACAUACAGAAGAUAAAAAGCUUUGCUAAAUAAGAUGUCUGGGAAAUGACAGGCAAGCUUAUGUGUCUGUAGACGCUAUCUUUAUUCUGUACAAGCAUAAAACAGAUUUCCCCCCAAAAUAAUAAAACACCUACCCCUUAUGUAUAAUACAUUAUAUGCUAACACAAUAAGUUUCUUUACAGUAGGUAGCAUUGAUGCCCCACAAUGAGCUUGAGCCAGAGCUCAGGUUACUGUCUCUGCUGAGUGUCACAUGCCUGUGGGUUUCCCCUGGGUUCCUCCCACUGUCCAAAAACCUGCACAUAGGUAGUCUUGUCUAUGUUAAACUGCCUCUGGGUAUGAAUGAGUAUGUGAAUGUAUGUGCUAGACCAGCAUCCCAUCCAGAAUGUAUCGUCUGUCGUUUGCCACCCACUCCAGAUACAGGAUAAUGCUGUUAAGGAAGAUGAAUGAAUGUGUUUUUUAAAUUCCUUUCUGUUAGUUCUUUUGAUUGUCUCUCUAGAGAAAACUCAUCAAGGUUCUGUGUAUAACUCUAAAGCAGAUUGCUUACUUGUUUUCCUUUAAACUCUAUCAACUCCUAACCACUUAAACAACCCCUGAGUAACUUUUUAUAGUAUUGUAGUUAAAAACAUAUAUAAAUGGUGCAAAGUGUUUGUGUAGAAAUUUAACUUGAUUGAUUCAGGGAAUGUUUUGUGUUCCGACCUGAGAUGUAUAAAUGUAUAAAAUUCUGUAAACAAAAAAAUUGUACCACUUUUUUGGUUUAUGCAGAAAAUGCUGCUUGUGAAUAAGCAAUGAAUAAAAAUCUA